UUACGACCAUAUCACAAUGAAACAGCGGUUCUCGUACGAUCACCGAAGUUAAGCAACGUCCAGGCUAGUUCGUAUCUAGACGGGCGACCCCUUGGAAAUACCAGCUGCUAU